UUAUGGCAACGAUGCGCUACGCCCCGCAA
rnacentral:sRNA from 1 species